CCUANGGGAGUCAGCAGUGGGGAAUAUUGGACAAUGGGCGCAAGCCUGAUCCAGCAAUGCCGCGUGAGUGAAGAAGGUCUUCGGAUUGUAAAGCUCUUUUGGCGGGGACGAUGAUGACGGUACCCGCAGAAUAAGCCCCGGCUAACUUCGUGCCAGCAGCCGCGGUAAUACGAAGGGGGCUAGCGUUGCUCGGAAUGACUGGGCGUAAAGGGCGCGUAGGCGGAUUGUACAGUCAGACGUGAAAUUCCUGGGCUCAACCUGGGGGCUGCGUUUGAUACGUAUAGUCUUGAGUGAGGAAGAGGGUUGUGGAAUUCCCAGUGUAGAGGUGAAAUUCGUAGAUAUUGGGAAGAACACCGGUGGCGAAGGCGGCAACCUGGUCCUUUACUGACGCUGAGGCGCGAAAGCGUGGGGAGCAAACAGGAUUAGAUACCCUUNUANUC
rnacentral:rRNA from 1 species